GGUUUGUAAACCGCUUUUCGGGGGGAAGAGGAAGGACGGUACCCCCGGAAUAAGUCUCGGCUAACUACGUGCCAGCAGCCGCGGUAAAACGUAGGAGGCAAACGUUAUCCGGAUUUACUGGGUGUAAAGCGCGUGCAGGCGGUUUCGUAAGUCGUGUGUGAAAGCGCUCAGGCUCAACCGGGCGAGGCCAUGCGAAACUGCGGAACUGGAGGCAGGUAGAGGCGUGUGGAAUUCCGGGUGUAGUGGUGAAAUGCGUAGAUAUCCGGAGGAACACCAGUGGCGAAGGCGACACGCUGGGCCUGACCUGACGCUAAGGCGCGAAAGCAUGGGGAGCGAACGGGAUUAGAAACCCCGGUAGUCCAUGCCGUAAACGAUGCGUACUAGGUGUUGCGGUGUCAAAACUGCAGUGCCGGAGCCAACGUGAUAAGUACGCCACCUGGGGACUACGGCCGCAAGGUUAAAC
rnacentral:rRNA from 1 species